UACGUAGGGGGCGAGCGUUAAUCGGAAUUACUGGGCGUAAAGCGUGCGCAGGCGGUUGUGCAAGACCGAUGUGAAAUCCCCGGGCUUAACCUGGGAAUGGCAUUGGUGACUGCACGGCUAGAGUGUGGCAGAGGGGGGUAGAAUUCCCCGUGUAGCAGUGAAAUGCGUAGAGAUGUAGAGGAAUACCGAUGGCGAAGGCAGCCCCCUGGGAUAACACUGACGCUCAUGCACGAAAGCGUGGGGAGCAAACAGG
rnacentral:rRNA from 1 species